AUACUCUUCCUGCUUGGUUCAAGUUGGUUAUUGCUGGAUAUCUUAUUGCUUCUAGUGUGUCUCAAGAAACCUCAUACUUAUAUACCCCCACAUUAAUCUCAUGGCAUACAGUAUAAAAGAGUGCAGAGUUGCUCUGCACCAGCUCUCAGAUGCUGCAGUCAGGAGUGGCUGGUGCCCUGAGCAGAGCAUCGUUCAAGCAGCAACUGACGUGUGCAAACUCGAGCCUGAAGCAAUGGAGGGCAGCAGCUCAUCCCUACCCUCCAUCGUGACAGUUUACAUCAAAGAGGAGCCUGAAGAUGAGGGAGAGGACAUAACUGUGAAGGAUGAACCACUUUGCAGUGAAGAAUAUGAGCAAACUCCACUUCCCUCAUCUUGCAAGCCAUGAAAGAAAGAGGUUCAAGUUGAGGCUCACGAGGCCUGCACCAGCGCCUCACAGUACACUGCUGCAGUGCCUCAUAAGCAGGAUGUCUUGCCUUGCAAUGCCCAGAGCAACAUUGGACAGGAUGAGUGGACGGCAGUUUCUCCAGAAAACAAGGAAAAAAAUAUUUCUGUUGCUGAGAAAAAUAUUUCUCCAGUGCCCAAUAGAGCAGCUUUAGUCCAGGAAGUUCUCUUUGAUCAGCCUGUGGCUGAGUUCAAGUCUUUUGAGUCAAACUUGUCCAACAAAGACAAUGGAAGAUUAGCAGAGGAAUUGCAUAAAGUUUCCUCAUCUGCUGAUUCAUCCCAUUCUAAAGUUCCUUUUAAUGCCCUCCAGUUAAACAAAAAUGAUUUUGGAUCUAAAUUUAAAUGCAAGUUAUGCAACUAUGUAACGACUAUGAAACAAAAUCUCCAUAGUCACUUGUUUUCAAGACAUGGUCUGGGGGAAGGAGCCAAAUGCAAGUUGUGUAAUUAUGAAACUGACAGACAUGAACAUCUCGAAAUUCACAUUUUCUCUAAACAUGGUUUAGGGAAGAGAGUAAAAUGUGAUCUGUGUGACUAUGUUACUACUCGAAAAGGCACUUUCCAACGUCAUCUGUUUGCAAAACAUGGUUUGGGGCAAGGAUUUAAAUGUGAUCUGUGUGACUAUGUUACUUCUCAAACACAAAGUCUCCGCAAUCACUUGUUUUCUAAACAUGGGGUGGGGCAAGGAUUCAAAUGCAAGUUGUGUGAUUAUGCUGCUGGUAGUAAAGUUUUUCUUAGAAGGCACCUUUCCUCAAAGCAUGGUUUGGGAGGCUUAAAAUGCAAGCUAUGUGAUUAUUCUGCACGUGAUAAAUCUCGUUUAAAUGUGCACUUAUUUUCUAAGCAUAGGAUGGGUAAAGGAUUUCAAUGCAAGCUGUGUGAUUAUGUCAACUGCAGAAAAGAUCUCCUUGAUAGCCACAUGUUUUAUAUACAUGGUUUAGGGAAGGGAUUCCCAUGCGAGUUUUGUGAUUAUGUUGCUGGUAAGAAACGCUAUCUAACAAAGCACCUGAAAUCCAAACAUGUUCUGGAUUAUGAAAAAUCUAAUAGUACAAGUAG